AAGUUAUUGUACAAAAUACGGGAUCAAUACCAAAUGAUGCCAUUUGCUUCCAAUAAAAAACUCAAAGCCAUCUAAAAUAACUUCUGACAUGUGUUGAAGUUCAAUUAUUGAGUAAUGCCAAUUAGGUAUCCAUGAUAAAACCAAAAUUUGCUCCAAACAUAAUGUGUUAAAAAAUGAAAUCAAUAUUUAUUUCAGAAGAGCCUUAAAGGACAAACUCUCAAGCCAUCUCGUGUAUCUGCUAUGAAACCAUAAAUUUCACUGUGGAAAUGUCCUAAAAAAACCAAAGUAGACAUGCUGUGGCUCGGAGCUACAUAUUAUCCAUUAAUCUAUUUGAAUGCAUUACAAUGGUGGAAUGAUAUUUCUAGAAAACUUAAAGCAACAACAACUUAGACUAACUUGGAUGCCAAAUUAAUUGAAGCUGUUCGUCUAAAAUUGAAAUUUAGUGUACUGUACUUCGGUACUACCCUGUGCAGUUCAAAUAAUGCCUACCUCUUUUAUAAACUUCAUAACAAGUAGCAAUUCAGAAAAUAUGAAAAAUGAAACGAUAGCUGAAUUGAUCACAAAAUCGUACAUGAAUGGAUUAGAUUUUGAAGUGAAAGCGUUUUUUUUUCAGAGAAACCCAAAGCGAUAACUCAAAACAAUUGCCAGUGUGCAAUAUGUUUUCUAUUGGUCCCAAACACCGAGAUUGCCCAAUAUUCCCAGAAACGUGUCCAAUGGAAAGUGAGUGACUUACCGUGAUAUGUGGAGAAUUGUUGAGAGUCAUGCCUGAUUUCCUGAUUUCCAGCGCAAUCAAACAGGGUUCGAGUUUCGAGAUUUGGGUCUCACGCAUCACAUUCAGGGAGCAUUGGGGAUGGCGUUCAGCUUGACACCUGGCAUAACAUUAUCCGCCCCAUUUGCUUACUCGAUCGAGCAGUCUUGCUGCAGAACUAGCGGGAUCGUCCGACUUCUUUGGAAAGAUGCUUCAAAGAAGAUCCAGUAAGGGCAGGAGGUGGGUUUUCGAUGACAUAUUGCUCGGUGAGGCAACAGCACCAAAUCGAAUCUCAAGAUUCAAACGGGACUUGUUUUGUGCAUUUUAAAUGCCCGCACCAUGUUGAGCAUACUCAAUAAGAGGCUUCACUUUUGUGGCCUGAUCAUGUGUAUGAAGAAGACGAGGAGAAGGACGAUAUGGACUGCCGGUAUUCCAAAAACGUUAAAUGGCACGAACCAUACCCACAGUCCAGAGCAAGUUGAGCUCGAAGAGACUCUACGAGAAGACGUUCCCCCUUUGUGCGUAACUGUACAUAUCAACAGCUCAAGAAGUGGUCAUCCACCAACAACGUGGCUCAAGGCAAACCAUCAGAGGCGGGGCAUUGUGCUAGUAGGUUUUAAAGCACUUUUGGAAGCUUGGGGAUCAUAAUUUCAACUAGUGAUCUUUAAAUCGUUAAACGUUUUAUUGCCAAUUGGUUGAAAUUCUAAUUCUCGUUGGCGAUUAACAGAUGUGUUGAUUUUAUUGCCAUUUUACAGAUUUUAAAAUUGAACGAUAAUGAGUAAUCACUCAGGAAAGGAAAUGCCUCAUUGAUCGGAAUAGAAACUGUAACAUUGUCUGUCGA